GAAACUCACCCGGCCCGGACACAGGAAGGAUUGACAGAUUGAGAGCUCUUUCUUGAUUCUGUGGGUGGUGGUGCAUGGCCGUUCUUAGUUGGUGGAGCGAUUUGUCUGGUUAAUUCCGAUAACGAACGAGACUCUGGCAUGCUAAAUAGUUACGCGACCUUCUCGGUCGGCGUCUAACUUCUUAGAGGGACUAGUGGCGUUUAGCCACACGAGAUUGAGCAAUAA
rnacentral:rRNA from 1 species